rnacentral:rRNA from 1 species
UACGUAGGGGGCUAGCGUUGUCCGGAAUCAUUGGGCGUAAAGAGCGUGUAGGCGGCCCGGUAAGUCCGCUGUGAAAGUCGGGGGCUCAACCCUCGAAUGCCGGUGGAUACUGUCGGGCUAGAGUGCGGAAGAGGCGAGUGGAAUUCCUGGUGUAGCGGUGAAGUGCGCAGAUAUCAGGAGGAACACCGAUUGCGAAGGCAGCUCGCUGGGACGUAACUGACGCUGGAGACGCGAAAGCGUGGGGAGCAAACAGG